AGUGAACGCUGGCGGUAGGCCUAACACAUGCAAGUCGAACGGCAGCACAGUAAGAGCUUGCUCUUACGGGUGGCGAGUGGCGGACGGGUGAGGAAUACAUCGGAAUCUACUUUUUCGUGGGGGAUAACGUAGGGAAACUUACGCUAAUACCGCAUACGACCUACGGGUGAAAGCAGGGGAUCUUCGGACCUUGCGCGAUUGUAUGAGCCGAUGUCGGAUUAGCUAGUUGGCGGGGUAAAGGCCCACCAAGGCGACGAUCCGUAGCCGGUCUGAGAGGAUGAUCAGCCACACUGGAACUGAGACACGGUCCAGACUCCUACGGGAGGCAGCAGUGGGGAAUAUUGGACAAUGGGCGCAAGCCUGAUCCAGCCAUACCGCGUGGGUGAAGAAGGCCUUCGGGUUGUAAAGCCCUUUUGUUGGGAAAGAAAAGCAGCAGGUUAAUACCCCGCUGUUCUGACGGUACCCAAAGAAUAAGCACCGGCUAACUUCGUG
rnacentral:rRNA from 1 species